rnacentral:rRNA from 1 species
UACGGAGGUGGCGAGCGUUUGUCCGAAGUUACUGGGCGUAAAGCGCGCGUAGGCGGGCCCUUAAGUGAGGGGUGAAAGGCUGAGGCUCAACCUCAUGUUUGUCCUCUCAUACUGUGGGUCUUGAGUGAGGUAGGGAGAAGUGGAAUGGCUGGUGUAGCGGUGAAAUGCGUAGAUAUCUGGAGGAAUACCGGUGGCGAAGGCGGCAUCCUGGACCAUUACUGACGCUGAGGCGCGAAAGCUAGGGGAGCAAACAGG